rnacentral:lncRNA from 1 species
GGGGGAAUCUUUUCUUAACAGUAAUAAUAAUUCUAUAUUAGAGCCUAUAACAAAUGAAUCAUGAUGGUCCAUUUUCAGUAUGAGAUACAUUUUGAGCUUAUCAUCAGCAAAUCAAUGCUUUUUUUUUUUUUUUUUUUGGUUUUUGAGACAAGGUUUCUUUCUCUGUGUAGCCCUGGCUGUCCUGGAACUCACUCUAUAGACCAGGCUGGCCUUGAACUCAGAAAUCCACCUGCCUCUAAAGAUUUUGUUUUUGUUUUUGUUUUUUCGAGUCAGGGUUUCUCUGUAUAGCCCUGGCUGUCCUGGAACUCACAUUGUAGACCAGGCUGGCCUCGAACUCGGCAAUCCGCCUGCCUCUGUCCCAAGUGCUGGGAUUAAAGGGAUGUGCCACCACUGCCUGGCUAUAACCUGAAUGCUUUUAAACUUCUUAGGGUUGAAAAGUUCUGGUCAGCUAUGGGAACAAGUCCAAGGUAUCAGGAGUGGGGAAGAUCUGCAAUACCCUUAGUGCAGAUCUCAAGCCCCAGGAGGGUCAGGAACUUGGGGUAAGCUCUAUGCUAGAUUAGUGGGCAAGUUCCUAACUCCUUGGAGAGCCAGCCUGUGACUCUGAGGGCAGGACAUUUUCAUGUUCAGGGACUAUGGAGCCCACUCUCUUCCACCAGCCACUGCUGUCUUUUCUCUAGGCUGAUAUCCAACUUCGCAAGGUUGAAAAGUGAACAGCUUCAAUUGUGCUACUCUGAGUCCUUAGUACUCUUACUGUGAAAUGAGGAUCAUUGAGCGUGAGACACCUUGGGGGUUACUAAGGUAGCUCCUUCUAUGACAGUCAAAGGGCUUCUUUUGAGGUUACCUUGUUAAUUGCCCUCAGAGAGGAAUCACCACACAUCUCCCAACUUCCAUCUUGGAGCUCUCACAGGCAGAGUCAGAGGCAGUUGGCUUCCCUCAGGCUACUUUUGCCUGGUUUCUUGUUGUAGCAUGCUUUUAAAUGUCUCUUGUGAUAGUCAUAGCUUUCAUGUAGC